rnacentral:rRNA from 1 species
GACGAACGCUGGCGGCGUGCUUAACACAUGCAAGUCGAACGGAAAGGCCCUGCUUUUGUGGGGUGCUCGAGUGGCGAACGGGUGAGUAACACGUGAGUAACCUGCCCUUGACUUUGGGAUAACUUCAGGAAACUGGGGCUAAUACCGGAUAGGAGCUCCUGCUGCAUGGUGGGGGUUGGAAAGUUUCGGCGGUUGGGGAUGGACUCGCGGCUUAUCAGCUUGUUGGUGGGGUAGUGGCUUACCAAGGCGUUGACGGGUAGCCGGCCUGAGAGGGUGAACGGCCACAUUGGGACUGAGAUACGGCCCAGAGUCCUACGGGAGGCAGUAGUGGGGAAUAUUGCACAAUGGGCGGAAGCCUGAUGAAGCAACGCUGCGUGCGGGAAGACGGCCUUCGGGUUGUAAACCGCUUUAGCCUGUGACGAAGCGUGAGUGACGGUAAUGGGUAAAGAAGCACCGGCUAACUACGUG